GGUGGUGAAAGGGCUGUGGUAAAGGUAGUGGUGGUGACAGGGCUGUGGUAGAGGUGGAGGUGGUGACAGGGCUGUGGUAAAGGUAGUGGUGGUGACAGGGCUGUGGUAGAGGUGGUGGUGGUGACAGGGCUGCGGUAGAGGUGGUGGUGGUGACAGGGCUGCGGUAGAGGUGGAGGUGGUGACAGGGCUGUGGUAGAGGUGGAGGUGGUGACAGGGCUGCGGUAGAGGUGGAGGUGGUGACAGGGCUGUGGUAGAGGUGGAGGUGGUGACAGGGCUGUGGUAGAGGUGGAGGUGGUGACAGGGCUGUGGUAGAGGUGGAGGUGGUGAC